rnacentral:rRNA from 1 species
CUGGAGACAGGUGCUGCAUGGCUGUCGUCAGCUCGUGUCGUGAGAUGUGGGUUAAGUCCCGCAACGAGCGCAACCCUUGCCUUAGUUGCCAGCAGUUCGGCUGGGCACUCUAAAGGGACUGCCGGUGUUAAACCGGAGGAAGUGGGGAUGACGUCAAGUCCUCAUGGCCUUUAUGACCAGGGCUACACACGUACUACAAUGGCCGAUACAAAGGGCAGCGACACUGCGAGGUGAAGCCAAUCCCGUAAAAUCGGUCUCAGUCCGGAUUGGAGUCUGCAACUCGACUCCAUGAAGUUGGAAUCGCUAGUAAUCGUGGAUCAGCAUGCCACGGUGAAUACGUUCCCGGGCCUU